rnacentral:rRNA from 1 species
UACCAGCACCCCGAGUGGUCGGGACGUUUAUUGGGCCUAAAGCAUCCGUAGCCGGUUCUGCACGUCUUCCGUUAAAUCCACCUGCUUAACAGAUGGGCCGCGGAAGAUACUAUAGAGCUAGGAGGCGGGAGAGGCAAGCGGUACUCGAUGGGUAGGGGUAAAAUCCGUUGAUCCAUUGAAGACCACCAGUGGCGAAGGCGGCUUGCCAGAAUGCGCUCGACGGUGAGGGAUGAAAGCUGGGGGAGCAAACCGG